UUUUCUGAAUUUACGACCCCCUCAAUCUUGGAAGCCAGUAAAAUCAAACUGAUCCGCAAUUCUUCAAAGCCCAGAAACAAACACGGUUUGCUCCGAUUGCAAUCAGAUUCCAAAUUUCCCGAUUGAAAUGCAUAAUCGAAAUUCUACUCCACAUAAAAUUGAGUUCAUAAAGAUGAAAUUCUUCUCCAAUUCUCAAAAUCUCAACAACUUAGCGGAUUAUUUGCUUGAGCUUUUGAUGAAUUACCUUCCAUUGGCGGAUUGCCCAGAGCUCUAAGGACUACAACCAAGUAUCAGUGCUUACAGGGAGGUAGCGGAGCACCACAAAGCCCGGCAUUACCCGAAAACGCAGAAGCAGGAACGUCAGCCUUGUGUGGAGGAAUAGGCCCACUUAGUUUAUUCCUUGAUACAUCAAACACUUUCAGGUUCUCCAAAUUCAACAAAUUUCUUGGAAUACUCCCACUCAAGCUAUUUCUUGACAGCAAAAUUGUUGUCAAUUCCUUGGCAUUCUCAAGUUCUUUGGGUAUUCCUCCUGAUAACCGAUUAUCCACCAUCUCCACCACUUGGAGCCGAGUCAAGUUCCCUAUCGACUUUGGUAUGGAUCCUCCCAACGGGUUAUUCGACAAGAUCAAGGAAGUGAUGGAGUUCAUGACAGCUUUAUCACCCAUGUUUUCAUCAAGUGGGCCCGUGAACAUGUUACUAGACACAUCGAUGUUGGUGUAAGACCCUUGUGUGAAAAUUAUUCCCAACGGGCCUGAAAACUUGUUUGAGUGCAGAUCAAGGUUCUGAAGGUUUGAGAGUUUCCUGAAUUCUACAGGAAUGGAAGAGUAGAAUCCAUUGUUGGAUAUAUUAAAGAACCAUAAACUACUCAUGUUACCUAUCCAUGAAGGUAACUUCCCCGUGAGUUUAUUACUCGACAAAUCGAGAUAGUUUAUUGAUGAGGUAGAUAACCAAUGUGGUAGCUGUUCCCCUCUGAGCCCUGUUCCUGCUAACUUUAGUUGAAAGAGGUUUAAUUUAGAGAUCCAACUGGGUAUUGUCACAAGCUUAAGAGGAUUGAAGGAUAAGCUAAGUGUCUGUAACAGCUGUAGUUGAACAAGUUGUGGAGGUAAAGGGCCAAUAAGCUGAUUUCCAGACAAAUCCAGUAUUAAGAGGUUUCUGAGAUUACCAAAACUAGCUGGGAUUGAGCCUAUGAGGUACAUUCUUUGUAUUUGGGGAAGACUUCCUAUUGAAUUUGGUAAAACACCACUCAGUUUAUUGUUCCAAAGCCGAAGGAAUUGCAAAGAAAGAAGUCUGCCUAUGGAGGAAGGAAUUGAUCCGGUUGCUAAGGAAAGGAGAGAGCAUACGUACCUGACAUGGUGGUGUCCAAAAUGAAGUCAUCCCCGGAUUGGAGACCGGACAUUGAGACGUUCACUACCCUUCCCGUGGGCCGAUCGCAGUCCACUCCGGCCCAUGAAG